rnacentral:rRNA from 1 species
UACGUAGGGUGCAAGCGUUGUCCGGAAUCAUUGGGCGUAAAGAGCGUGUAGGCGGCUCGAUCAGUCCGCUGUGAAAGUCCAGGGCUCAACCCUGGAAAGCCGGUGGAUACUGUCGGGCUAGAGUUCGGAAGAGGCGAGUGGAAUUCCUGGUGUAGCGGUGAAAUGCGCAGAUAUCAGGAGGAACACCAAUGGCGAAGGCAGCUCGCUGGGACGAUACUGACGCUGAGACGCGAAAGCGUGGGGAGCAAACAG